UACGUAGGGUGCGAGCGUUAAUCGGAAUUACUGGGCGUAAAGCGUGCGCAGGCGGUUUUGUAAGCCAGAUGUGAAAUCCCCGGGCUCAACCUGGGAACUGCAUUUGUGACUGUAGAGCUGGAGUGCGGCAGAGGGGGAUGGAAUUCCGCGUGUAGCAGUGAAAUGCGUAGAUAUGCGGAGGAACACCGAUGGCGAAGGCAAUCCCCUGGGCCUGCACUGACGCUCAUGCACGAAAGCGUGGGGAGCAGACAGG
rnacentral:rRNA from 1 species